GCUGGCCGCUCCGACGGGCACCUGACCGGACUAUAGAAACGUCCCAUCCGUGGGAACAAAAAGAAAUAACUCAAAGUGUCUAAAUGUCUGAAACCCUGAGUCAGAACCCAGAUAACCUUAGGAUAAAAGGGAGCCACAGGCACAGAACAAUGGGGAGUCUCACUGAGGAGAGGACGCUCUGCCCCAAACCCGGACAAUCGGUACUCCCGCCUGCCGUACAAUCUACUGGGACUCCCCCGGUUGAUUGCGGUGCAGACAUUGAAGAAAUUGCCACCAAUCCUCCUCUUUUUGCUGAGGAAGACUGGCCCUGAGAGAACAUCCAUGCUCAUCUUCCUCUAUUUUAUACGUGGGACGCCUACCACAGCAUGGCUGGAUAAGCGGUGCCAUGUCCACACCCGGGAUCCGAACCGGUGAACCCCAGGCCACCGAAGCAGAACGUGCGCAUUUAACCACUGCGCCACCAGGGCCGGCCCCUAUCACAAUGUUUUUAUCCAUCCUGAUGGUGACGGACAUGUUUGGGGCUAUCGUAAAUAAAGCUGUGAUGUCCACCCUUAUUAAUCUGUAUUUCGUUGGCCUAUACACUCAUUUCUCCUAGUUUUCUGCUCACUGGUGGAACGGCUGAUGGUAGGGCAUGCAGACGCUCAGCUUCAAUGCCUACAUCUGAACAGUCUUCCAAAGUGGUUGCGUCCAUUUCCAGCCAGCAGGAAGGUAUUAGGGCUCCAGGGGCUCCACAUCUUCGUCCCCUCUUGGUAUGGUCACUGUUUAAAAUGGUGGCCAUUUUGUGAAGCAUGUAGUGAUGUCUUUGUGAUUGCGACUUUCCAGUACGUUAAUUUGAAUACAAAUGAUGUUGAGUAUAUAGUCGUGUGUUUAUUGGCCACCAGAAUAUCCUUUUUUGUGAAGUGCCUGUCCAAGUCUUUUGCCUAUUUUUAUUGUGUUCUUUUCUUAUUGAUUUGUAGGAGUUCUUUACAUUUUAUGCAUGUAAAUCUUUUGUUAGAUAUAUUUAUCACGAAUGUCUUCUCUCAGGUUGGGGCUUGACUUUCACUCUCUUAUUGGUAUAUAUAUAUAUAUAUUUUAAAUUCAGUUCUUCAAUUGUAAAAGAUAUGUAACGUGAAAUUUAUCAUCUUAACCAUUUUUAAGUAUACGUUAAGUACAUUCAUAAUGCUAUGUAACGAUCACCACAAUCUAGCUCCAGAACAUUUUAUCUUUCAAAAGUGAAACUCUGUGCUGAUGAAACACUGACACCGCAUUCCCCAUCUCCCCAGCCCCUGGCAACCUCCAUUCCACUUUCUGUCUAUGAAUUUGACUACUUUAGGUACCCCACAUGAGUAGAAUCAUAAAGCAUUUGUCCUUUCGUGAUUGGCUUAUUUCACUUAGCAUAGUGUCUUCAUGGUUCAUCCAUGUUGUAGCACGUGUCAGAAUUAUAUAAUAUUGUGUGUCUAGGCUACCUUUUGUUUAUCCAUUCAUCCAUUGAUGGACACUUGGAUUGCUUCCACUUUUUGGCUAUCCUGAAUAAUGCUGCUAUGCAUGUUGGAUGUCCUCUUACUGGUAUAUUUUAAUGUUCAGAAUUUCCUGUCAGCCGAGUUCAAGCUAUCAUUUUUUCUUUUAUUAUAUGCGGUUUUUAUGUCCCAUACAAUAUUUUCAUAUCCCAAGGUCACAAACAACCUCCUGUGAUUUUUUUCUACAAGUUUUAUUGUUUUUCUUUUAACAUUGAUGUCUGCAAUUCUCCAAGUCUGAUGUGAGGAACAGAUCAAGAUUCACUUUUCUUUCCAUGUGGAUAUUCAAAAGCUCAUCGCUGUUUGUUGAAAAGACCCCCCUUCCCCCACCGCAUUUCAAUGUGCCCUUGUUGUAAACGAGUGAUGGGACCAACACAGGGUUAGACAAACAGACCAACGGAACUUACACAAUCUGUUUCUGGCUUCUCUGGUUUGUUCCAUUGGUCUAUUUGUCUAGCCUCGUGCAGCACCACUGUUUUAAUUACUGUAGAUUUAUAACAAAUCUUGAUAUCCGGUAGGAUAAAUCUUCCAACUCCUUCUUCAGGAUUAUCUUUAGUAUUCUAAGUCCUUUGUAUUUCCAUGUAAAUUUUGGAACCAGCUUGUCAAUGUCAACAAAAACAUCUACCAGGAUUUUUAUUAGGAUGAUAUUGACUCUAUAGAUCAGGUUAGAAAGAAUUGACUUCUUAACAAUACUGAAUUUUUCAAUCCAUGGCCUCUCUCCUCUUAUUUAGGUCUUUCAUUUAUUUCAGCAACGCUUUAUAGUUUCAGUGUAGAUGUCUUGACAUUUUUGCUGGAUAUCGUCUUUGGAAUUUGAUACAUUCUAGUGUUAUUAUAAAUUGUUUGUUUCAUUUAUUAUCGUUUGUUUCUUAGUAUAAAGAAAUAUAAUUGAUUUCUG
rnacentral:lncRNA from 1 species